UGCCGCGUGUGUGAAGAAGGCCUUCGGGUUGUAAAGUACUUUCAGCGGGGAGGAAGGCGUUGAGGUUAAUAACCUCGGCGAUUGACGUUACCCGCAGAAGAAGCACCGGCUAACUCCGUGCCAGCAGCCGCGGUAAUACGGAGGGUGCAAGCGUUAAUCGGAAUUACUGGGCGUAAAGCGCACGCAGGCGGUCUGUCAAGUCGGAUGUGAAAUCCCCGGGCUCAACCUGGGAACUGCAUUCGAAACUGGCAGGCUAGAGUCUUGUAGAGGGGGGUAGAAUUCCAGGUGUAGCGGUGAAAUGCGUAGAGAUCUGGAGGAAUACCGGUGGCGAAGGCGGCCCCCUGGACAAAGACUGACGCUCAGGUGCGAAAGCGUGGGGAGCAAACAGGAUUAGAUAC
rnacentral:rRNA from 1 species